rnacentral:rRNA from 1 species
UACGUAGGGCGCAAGCGUUGUCCGGAAUUAUUGGCGUAAAGAGCGCGCAGGCGGUAUGACAAGUCAGAUGUGAAAGAGGCCGGCUUAACCGGCAAGGGUCAUUUGAAACUGUCAGACUAGAGUGCAGCAGAGGAUAGUGGAAUUCCCGGUGUAGCGGUGAAAUGCGUAGAUAUCGUAAGGAAGACCAGUGGCGAAGGGCGGGUCUCUGGACCGGGUAC